rnacentral:rRNA from 1 species
UGGCGGCGUGCCUAACACAGUUCAAGUCGAACGAACUGUAGAAAUACAGUGAGUGGCGACGGGUGAGUAACGCGUAAGCAAUCUGCCUUUGUGUAGUGGAAUAACAACCGGAAACAGUUGCUAAUACCGCAUAACGCAGAGAGAUCGCAUGGUCUUUCUGCCAAAGAUUUAUCGCACGAAGAUGAGCUUGCGUCCGAUUAGAUAGUUGGCGGGGUAACGGCCCACCAAGUCAACGAUCGGUAGCCGGACUGAGAGGUUGAACGGCCACAUUGGAACUGAGAUACGGUCCAGACUCCUACGGGAGGCAGCAGUGGGGAAUAUUGGGCAAUGGACGAAAGUCUGAACCCCCAGCGACGCCGCGUGAGGGAAGAAGGUCUUCGGAUUGUAAACCUUAGUCAACAGGGACGAAGCAAGUGACGGUACCUGUGGAGGAAGCCACGGCUAACUACGUGCCAGCCGCUGC